GACGAAGGUGGCGAGCGUUGUUCGGUGUCACUGGGCUUAAAGAGUGUGUAGGCGGAUGUGUAAGCGUCUUGUGAAAUCCCUCGGCUUAACCGAGGAAUGGCUGGGCGAACUGCACAUCUUGAGGCAGGCAGGGGCCAGUGGAACUCUUGGUGGAGCGGUGGAAUGCGUAGAUAUCAAGAGGAACGCCAGCGGAGAAAUCGGCUGGCUGGGCCUGUCCUGACGCUGAGACACGAAAGCGUGGGGAGCGAACGGGAUUAGAUACCCCGUA
rnacentral:rRNA from 1 species